AGCAGCCGCGGUAAUUCCAGCUUCAAUAGCGUAUAUUAAAGUUGUUGCAGUUAAAAAGCUCGUAGUUGAAUUUCGGGGUCAGUAGGUUGGUCGUGCCACUGGUACGUACUGGUCUCACUGAUUCCUCCUUCCUGAUGAACCGUAAUGCCAUUAAUUUGGUGUUGCGGGGAAACUGGACUGUUACUUUGAAAAAUUAGAGUGUUUAAAGCAGGCUAACGCUUGAAUACAUUAGCAUGGAAUAAUGAAAUAGGACGUUCGAUCCUAUUUGUUGGUUCUAGGAUUGACGUAAUGAUUAAUAGGGAUGGUUGGGGCAUUAGUAUUCAAUUGUCAGAGGUUGAAAAUUC
rnacentral:rRNA from 1 species